UACGGAGGAUGCGAGCGUUAUCCGGAUUUAUUGGGUUUAAAGGGUGCGUAGGCGGUCCGUUAAGUAAGCGGUAAAAUUGCGGGGCUCAACCCCGUCGAGCCGUUGAAACUGGCUGUCUUGAGAUGUCGAGAGGUAUGCGGAAUGCGCAGUGUAGCGGUGAAAUGCUUAGAUAUUGCGCAGAACCCCGAUUGCGAAGGCAGCGUACCGGCGCCCAACUGACGCUGAAGCACGAAAGCGUGGGUAUCGAACAGG
rnacentral:rRNA from 1 species